AACUUCCAUAGUUGUCAAAAUCGUACGAUUCGCGAUUCGAAUCGUACGAUUCGGUUCGAUACGGGUUAAAAUCGAUUCGAACCGAUACUGGGAAUCGAAAAUGAUAAGAAUCGUGAACGGAAUCGAUCGAAUCGAUUCAAGAAUCGAUGAAUCGUACGAUACAUACGAUUCGCUUACGAUUCGCGUACGGCGGGCCCAAAAGUCAAAAAACAUAUUUUUGGGGGGGUUUUCCGUGAUUUCUUCGCACAAAGUGGGUCGAAACUCACUUAAAAACACUCGACGGCAACUAAUUUGAACUGGGUCCAACCUCAUUCCAUCAUCUAGGGUUUCGAAAGAUGCUAACAUGCGUUUUUCAUUAUUGAUCUGCUCUCCAAUCUUGAUUUCGACCUUCAUCUGCUCUCCAAUCUUCACCGUGGAUCUGCUAUUUGCUUCGGUUCUUGGAAGAUUAGGAUUCGAACGAACCUGUUCAUUGCGUAUUGACUGUUCACUGUAGUCGAACAGGUUUCUCUCUCUCUCUCUCUCUCUGCUCUGUUUUUUAUGGGUAAAAAGUGGAGUAUAUGCGUGGGUUUUGUAGUUGAAAUAGCUGGAAUGCAGGAUGGCUGGACCACCAUAUUUAAUAUGCUUAUAUGCCUUUUGAGUUUUGUCCACUUUCAAGACAUGUUUUUUACUUUUUUGACUGAUUCCACCCUUAUACAGUGAUACACUUUAUAGAAUAUAGAGUAUUAUAUGUGCUCCACUUGGACAGUUGGGCCACCAAAUUUAAUAUGCCUUUUGUCCACUUUCAAGACACGUUUUUUUUUACAGUUUUUUUACUUUCUUUGUGACUGAUUCCAUUAUACACUUUAUAGAGUAUUUUACACACUCAUAAAGAUAUGACACUUGUAAACCAGUCACCAUUAAUGCUUUUGAUAGUAUUUUAUUGUUUUGGUAUUAUUAAAUUUGAGUUUUAGUUUGUGACUUAGACAAUAUGGCGAAAAAGAAAGGGGGUAAACCUAGCAAUGUUCAAGACCCUACAUGGGAACAUUGUGCUCGGGUUAGUGAGGACAAUCGAAUGCAUUUAAUGUGCAAUUAUUGUGGUCAAGCUUUUUGGGGUGGGGUCAUUCGCAUGAAAAAUCACUUGGCGGGAACUCACAACGAGGUAUGCGAAUGUCCUCAAGUUUCCGAGGAAGUUAAAGAUUUUUUCCUUGAGUAUCUAAAAGGGAAGAACAAAAAAAAAGCCGCGAAGUUGGAAUGUUUUGAUGAGGAGGAAGAUGUGGGAGUUAAUUCCAAAAGUAAGGGGACGAUGGAUGCUUAUGUUACCAAAGGCAAGAAGAAAGCGAAACAACUUUGAAUGAAAUGGUAAAGAAGAGGAAACCCGUGAUUAGAGAUAUUUGUCAGUUUUUCUACAAGAACGCCAUAGCUUUCAAUUGUGUUAAAUGCCCUACAUUUAAGAGAUUGGUAGCUUCAAUUGGUGAAUAUGGGAGAGGGUUAAAACCCCCUACUUAUCAUGAGGCUAGGGUGUCAUACUUGAAAAAGGAGGUGGAUCUUGUGAGAGAGGGAUUAGAGGUGUAUAAAAAAGAAUGGAAGAAAACGGGUUGUACCCUAAUGUCCGAUGCAUGGAGCGAUGGCAAGUAUAGAAGCAUUACAAAUUUUCUUGUCAAUAGUCCACGGGGUACCGUUUUCCUCAAAUCUAUUGACACAUCCGGCAUUAUCAAGAAUGUGGAUAAUUUGUGUGACUUGCUUGAUGACCUGGUGAAAGAAAUUGGAGAAGAGCAUGUAGUCCAAGUGGACCGAUAGUGCAUCGGCUUAUGUAAGUGCCGGGCAAUUGCUAAUGGAGAAAAGGCCUAAUUUGUUUUGGAACCCUUGUGCCGCUCAUUGCCUUGAUUUGAUGCUUAGUGACAUUGGCGAGUUUGCAGUCUUUAAGGAUACCUUAGCAAAAGCAAAGGAAGUCACUGUGUUCGUCUAUAGGCAUCAAUGGGUACUUGACAUGUUUAGAAAAUACACAAAAAAGAUGGAAUUGGCACGACCGGCAAUUACUAGAUUUGCUACCUCUUAUCUCACCUUGAAAAGAUUUGAUGACUUAAAGAUUCAAAUUAGAGCUAUGUUUGCAUCGGUGGAGUGGUCUACAAGUUCUUAUGGUAAUAGUGCGGUGGGGAAAAAAGUGGAAAGCAUAAUUUUAGAUGAUCAUGGAUUUUGGAAAGCAAUCAAAUUUUGCAUGAAGUGUGUUUUGCCUUUGGUUAAAGUAUUGAGGCUUGUGGACGGUGAUUCCAAGCCAGCCAUGGGGUACAUUUAUGAGGCUAUGGAUAGGGCGAAAGAACAAAUCGCCAAAAACUUGGGGGAACAAAAGAGAAGGUAUGAGAAAAUAUGGAAUGUCAUUGAUACGAGAUGGGAUUAUCAACUCCAUAGACCCCUUCAUGCGGCGGCUUACUACCUCAAUCCCGGGUUUCAAUAUAGUGAAACAUUUAAAGCCGAUAGAAAAGUUAGAAAGGGCUUAUACACCACCAUCGAGAGGAUGUACCCGGAUAUGGACACAAGGAUUAUCAUUGACGAGCAACUAGAGAAGUUCAAAAAUUCCGAGGGUAUGUUUGGUAUGGACAUGGCCAAGUUGACAAGAGAUAAGAAGUAACCCGCAUUAUGGUGGGAGAGUUUUGGAGAAGAGUGCAAGAAGCUCCAAAGGCUAGCAAUAAGAGUGCUAAGCGGCACUUGUAGUGCAACUGGAUGCGAAAGAAAUUGGAGCAUAUUUGAUAUUGUACACUCAAAAAGGAGGAACCGUUUGGAAACUCAAAGGAUGAAUGCAUUGGUGUUUGUAAAAUACAACAUUCAACUUGAGUUGAGGCAAGAGAAGAGGCAAGAGAGGGGUGAUACAUAUGAUCCAAUUUGUUUAUCUGAUAUGGAGUCCGACGAUGAAUGGAUCACUGAAAAAGAAGGUCCAGUACUACCCGAAGAUCAUUCAUGGAUGGACAUUGAAGAGUGCUUUAAAGAUGAUGGAACAGUUGGGAAAAAGAGAAAGAGAGGGCCGAGGAACUUGAAUGCUUAUGGCCGAAAAAAAGGAAAAAAGAAAGCAAGUCAGUUGGAUGAUGAAGAUGAAAUUGAAGUGCUUGAUGACAAUGAAGUCAUUGAACUCGAGGGAGAGGAAGAGGAAGAGGAAGAGGAAGAAGAGUUUGAUGAAGCGACUAUGGCGGAUGAUAAUGAUGAUGAUGAUGUGGAGGAACUUGACCUUGAAGAUGAUUGAGGAAUGAUCAAUCAAAACUAUCUUAGAGCUUAUUUACUAGUUUAAUUGUGUUCGAAACUUUGAAUGUUCUUUUUUGAUGCAAGUUGCAAGUACUAUCGUUAUUUGCUAGGGCUUACGUUACGCUAUUAAGUA